rnacentral:rRNA from 1 species
UACAGAGGGGGCCAGCGUUAUUCGGAAUUAUUGGGCGUAAAGGGCGCGUAGGCGGCCAUGCGUGUCUUCCGUGAAAUCCCUCGGCUUAACCGGGGAACUGCGUCUGAUACUGGAUGGCUUGAGUUUGGGAGAGGGAUGCGGAAUUCCAGGUGUAGCGGUGAAAUGCGUAGAUAUCUGGAGGAACACCGGUGGCGAAGGCGGCAUCCUGGACCAACACUGACGCUGAGUGAGCGAAAGCCAGGGGAGCAAACGGG